rnacentral:rRNA from 1 species
CCUACGGGGUGCUGCAGUGGGGAAUAUUGGACAAUGGGCGAAAGCCUGAUCCAGCCAUGCCGCGUGUGUGAAGAAGGCCUUCGGGUUGUAAAGCACUUUCAGUGGGGAAGAAAGCCUUGGGGCUAAUACCCUCGAGGAAGGACAUCACCCACAGAAGAAGCACCGGCUAACUCCGUGCCAGCAGCCGCGGUAAUACGGAGGGUGCGAGCGUUAAUCGGAAUUACUGGGCGUAAAGCGCGCGUAGGCGGUCUGAUAAGCCGGUUGUGAAAGCCCCGGGCUCAACCUGGGAACGACAUCCGGAACUGUCAGGCUAGAGUGCAGGAGAGGAAGGUAGAAUUCCCGGUGUAGCGGUGAAAUGCGUAGAGAUCGGGAGGAAUACCAGUGGCGAAGGCGGCCUUCUGGACUGACACUGACGCUGAGGUGCGAAAGCGUGGGUAGCAAACAGGAUUAGAUACCCUGUAGUC